AUGGGAACGCGAAGAACCUUACCUACUCUUGACAUCCAGAGAACUUUCCAGAGAUGGAUUGGUGCCUUCGGGAACUCUGAGACAGGUGCUGCAUGGCUGUCGUCAGCUCGUGUUGUGAAAUGUUGGGUUAAGUCCCGCAACGAGCGCAACCCGUUAUCCUUUGUUGCCAGCGGUUCGGCCGGGAACUCAAAGGAGACUGCCAGUGAUAAACUGGAGGAAGGUGGGGAUGACGUCAAGUCAUCAUGGCCCUUACGAGUAGGGCUACACACGUGCUACAAUGGCAUAUACAAAGAGAAGCGACCUCGCGAGAGCAAGACGGACCUCAUAAAGUAUGUCGUAGUCCGGAUUGGAGUCUGCAACUCGACUCCAUGAAGUCGGAAUCGCUAGUAAUCGUAGAUCAGAAUGCUACGGUGAAUACGUUCCCGGGUCUUGUACACACCGAGUCGUGGGGAGGC
rnacentral:rRNA from 1 species